UAUGUUAUGGGCUUGUGAGUAAGGUAUCUAGUAUGAGAGGGAAUUAUGAAAAGAAAAAAGGGGGCCCGGGAGUGGACACUACUUUCUUUGGACGAAGCUUGCAAGAUGAUUAUGACCGGUCCAUCAACGAGGCUAUCAAGAUAACCAAACGAAAACAAGACAAUUUCACAUGCUUCACAUGCUUCUCAACAUGACAAUUUCAGUGCCCCAUCUCCCACAUCACCUGAUUUGGAUGAUGCUCAGGAAGAGGAUAAAGCAGAAGCAUUGGAUAGAAGCAAUCGGCGGAGACAGAGACCGCAACGGUAUUCCGCAAAAGAGUUUGUUGAAGCAGUUUCAGAUAAUGAGGCAGACUAUGACAGUGAUGACGAGAUAGUAGGCCAGGGGAAGCUGUUUAUGAUGAGGAAUGUCUGAGGAAACGUAAAGAGAGGAGGAAGCUGUCUAGUAGUUCUGAAGGAGAUGAGGAGUAUCGUUGGGAGUUCGUUAGUCAUCCAAUCAAUGUACAAUAACCAUUAACUAAUAUUGUAACUGAUAAAAUUUGCCCCAUCAAAUUUUCGAGCCAUGUAGUUUUUAUCUCGUGUUCAUGACAAUGAUGUGCCAUUGAGGCUGAGCAUUUGGGUUGGUUGGGUCUGUUGAUAAAGCAUCAGGUUAGAAACUGUUGUGUUUAUUGUAAUGGACCAUCCUCCC